UACAGAGGUCGCAAGCGUUGUUCGGAAUUACUGGGCGUAAAGCGCACGUAGGCGGAUUUGUAAGUCAGGGGUGAAAUCCCGGGGCUCAACCUCGGAACUGCCUUUGAUACUGCAAAUCUCGAGUCCGGAAGAGGUGAGUGGAAUUCCUAGUGUAGAGGUGAAAUUCGUAGAUAUUAGGAAGAACACCAGUGGCGAAGGCGGCUCACUGGUCCGGUACUGACGCUGAGGUGCGAAAGCGUGGGGAGCAAACAGG
rnacentral:rRNA from 1 species